rnacentral:rRNA from 1 species
CAGCCGCCGCGGGAAAACGGAGGGUGCAAGCGUUAAUCGGAAUUACUGGGCGUAAAGCGCACGCAGGCGGUCUGUCAAGUCGGAUGUGAAAUCCCCGGGCUCAACCUGGGAACUGCAUUCGAAACUGGCAGGCUAGAGUCUUGUAGAGGGGGGUAGAAUUCCAGGUGUAGCGGUGAAAUGCGUAGAGAUCUGGAGGAAUACCGGUGGCGAAGGCGGCCCCCUGGACAAAGACUGACGCUCAGGUGCGAAAGCGUGGGGAGCAAACAGGAUUAGAUACCCCGGUAGUCCCUGUCUCUUAUAC